GCCGAAGUGGCGGAAUGGCAGACGCGCGGGAUUCAAAAUCCCGUAUCCUCACAGGUGUGUGGGUUCGACUCCCACCUUCGGCA
rnacentral:tRNA from 1 species